GAUGAACGCUGGCGGCGUGCUUAACACAUGCAAGUCGAACGAAGCAAUUGGAGUGCUUGCACUUUGAUUGACUGAGUGGCGGACGGGUGAGUAACGCGUGGGUAACCUGCCUCAUACAGGGGGAUAACAGUUAGAAAUGACUGCUAAUACCGCAUAAGCGCACAGUAUCGCAUGGUACAGUGUGAAAAACUCCGGUGGUAUGAGAUGGACCCGCGUCUGAUUAGCUAGUUGGUAAGGUAACGGCUUACCAAGGCGACGAUCAGUAGCCAGCCUGAGAGGGUGAUCGGCCACAUUGGGACUGAGACACGGCCCAAAACUCCUACGGGAGGCAGCAGUGGGGAAUAUUGCACAAUGGGGGAAACCCUGAUGCAGCAAACGCCGCGUGAAGGAUGACGUAUUUCGG
rnacentral:rRNA from 1 species